rnacentral:tRNA from 1 species
GAUCCGUUAGCUCAGCUGGGAGAGCGCUACCUUGACAGGGUAGAGGUCACUGGUUCGAGCCCAGUACGGGUCA